GCGGCGCGGAACAAGCCCCGCAGGGCCUUCCCUGGCCGCCAACACACCACUCCCGGAGCUGAUUCCCUGUGCCCAGCUCCUUUCUUGGCGAGGCUUCAGUCCCUUAGUCGGCCUCAGUCUGUCCACCUUCGGAGAGGUCUGAGCGCUAGCCGGAGACAGGUAGACACCGAGAAGUGACAGAACCCAGAGGAAGCUGGAGAGAGGCAGCGAGGAAACGAGGGCCCGGCGGGCAGCAGCAUGAAAUUCAGCCCAGUGCCCUACCUGCUGCCUCUCCUGCCCGCGCUGGUCCUCAGCACCAGAUGGCCAAAUAGGAACGGCUCCGGUCUGCAGCACCCAGCAAGACCAACGCAGAAGGCAGUGGUGCCUGGAACAUCAGCGAGACAGAACCA
rnacentral:lncRNA from 1 species